rnacentral:tRNA from 1 species
GAAAUAUUUAAAAGAGUGUUUUGAAGUCACUCAUGAGGAGUCUUCCUGUAUUUCU